GAUGAACGCUAGCGGCAGGCCUAACACAUGCAAGUCGAGGGAGAAGCCCUUCGGGGCAGAAACCGGCGCACGGGUGCGUAACGCGUAUGCAACCUACCUUUCACAGGGGGAUAGCCCGAAGAAAUUUGGAUUAAUACCCCAUAAUAUUAUUGGAUGGCAUCAUUUGAUAAUUAAAAUUACGAUGGUGAAAGAUGGGCAUGCGUCCUAUUAGCUAGUUGGAGUGGUAACGGCACCCCAAGGCUACGAUAGGUAGGGGUCCUGAGAGGGAGAUCCCCCACACUGGUAUUGAGACAGGGACCAGACUCCUACGGGAGGCAGCAGUGAGGAAUAUUGGUCAAUGGUCGGAAGACUGAACCAGCCAUGCCGCGUGCAGGAAGAAUGCCUUAUGGGUUGUAAACUGCUUUUAUAUGGGAAGAAUAAGGUGUACGUGUACA
rnacentral:rRNA from 1 species